rnacentral:rRNA from 1 species
ACGCUCGACACCUACGGGAUGCAGCAGUAGGGAAUCUUCCACAAUGGACGCAAGUCUGAUGGAGCAACGCCGCGUGAGUGAAGAAGGUCUUCGGAUCGUAAAACUCUGUUGUUAGAGAAGAACACGAGUGAGAGUAACUGUUCAUUCGAUGACGGUAUCUAACCAGCAAGUCACGGCUAACUACGUGCCAGCAGCCGCGGUAAUCUGAGCGGGCUGGCAAGGC